UGGACCUCAGAUCAGGCAAGAUUACCCGCUGAGUUUAAGCAUAUCA
rnacentral:rRNA from 2 species